UCGAUAUGUCCGAGUGGUUAAGGA
rnacentral:siRNA from 1 species